GUGCAUUCGACACCUAAAUAUGUUCCAAUCUUAACACAGGGUGGAGAGAAGAAGGAAGGUGAGGAAACUAAUCCAUUCAGGUGGAUGAUUGAGGGUUUCUCUACCCUUCUAAACCAUACUGCAGUGACGCACCGCUCUGGGAAUUUCGCAGCUUGUGGCUUCACCUGGAAUUUGCAGCUGGAAAUAAAAUCGUCUGUAGAAGAUGAUGAGAAAUCUCUCUGUCUUUACCUAUUCUCAGUUGAAGUGUCGUCUAAUACUGGUUCGGUGGUCAAGGCAACCUACGAACUGAUGAUAUAUGACCAGUUAUGCGGGAAGCACAUACAGAUCAAAGGUGAAGACUAUUUCCAUGGCUCAUCUCGAUAUGGAUUAUGCUGUAUGGUCCCCUUAAAAAAAUUCAACGAUCCGAAAUCUGGACUACUAGUCAAUGAUUGUUGCGUUUUUGGUGCUGAAGUCAUGGAGGCUUUUGCAUGCAAAUUAGAUCGAGAAGGUGUCUCUGAGUGCUUGUCCCUGAAUAAGGAAAUAACCCCUCAAACAUAUACAUGGGUGAUCAAGAAUUUCUCGAAACUGAGUACAAAGCAAGUUUCUGAAGUUUUUACUUCAGG